ensembl:lncRNA
AACGUCAUCACAGGUCAGUCCCCUAUCCCCCUAAACCAGUCUCUAUCAGCAUCAACGUCAUCACAGGUCAGUCCCCUAUCCCCCUACACCAGUCUCUAUCCUGACCUCAACGUCAUCACAGGUCAGUCCCCUAUCCCCCUAAACCAGUCUCUAUCCUGACAUCAACGUCAUCACAGGUCAGUCCCCUAUCCCCCUAAACCAGUCUCUAUCAGCAUCAACGUCAUCACAGGUCAGUCCCCUGUCCCCCUACACCAGUCUCUAUCAGCAUCAACGUCAUCACAGGUCAGUCCCCUGUCCCCCUACACCAGUCUCUAUCAGCAUCAACGUCAUCACAGGUCAGUCCCCUGUCCUCCUACACCUGUCUCUAUCAGCAUCAACGUCAUCACAGGUCAGUCCCCUAUCCCCCUACACCAGUCUCUAUCCUGACAUCAACGUCAUCACAGGUCAGUCCCCAAUCCCCCUACACCAGUCUCUAUCCUGACAUUAACGUCAUCACAGGUCAGUCCCCUAUCCCCCUACACCAGUCUCUAUCAGAGGGACAGUGCUGCUGUCAGCCUGAAUGAAGA